rnacentral:lncRNA from 1 species
AGUGGACUUUCCCCUUCCCGUAAAGUGGAUCUGCCUUCCCCCGCUCAAUAACACAGCUAUUAUCGUAUCGCAAGCAGCAAGCGCUAAAAGAGAAGUGCCCAGCACUAACGCUAUAAGAAGACCUUAUCACGGGGAUGAGUCUACUUCUUAGCUGCUCUUAAAGUUAGCGCUUUAUGCUAUUCAAGAAGGACUAUAACACGAGUACUGCUCUCUUGCUCUUUCCUACCCUAUAGAGU